rnacentral:lncRNA from 10 species
AAAUGCUGAGGAGAAACCACUGUGCCCGUGCAGUGUACUAUAGGGCUGAGCUUGGAAUAAACUUCCCUGGAUUUGCCAGUGACAGGUGGUACAGUCAGCCUGGAAAAUAAAUGAAAAUGAGGUAAAAAUGAAAUUUUGAAGGAGGCAUCUCGAGAAUGCAUGAACAGAACUGGAAAAAAAUGCCACAUGGAAUUAAUAAUGUGGGAAAAUGAGAGGUUAACUCUCUACCAAGGACAAAUUGUAAUGGGCAAUUGCAAGGUAAGACAUUUAUGGAAAGAUCACUUGUUUACUUGUGAUGUUUGGGAAGUGAGGAACCAUUUGGAGUGGCUCUGUCUUUUAUCCAUUUGCAGAAACCACAGGGGUAAGCUCUUAAAAGCCAAUAAUAUGAAAGAGAAACUAUAUAAUAUAGCAUGGCUUACGUGAUGCAAUAAAAAAGAUUAAGGGGUUGCACAAGCUUGCAAUUGUCAGUUAAUCACUAGCUGCAUGAGUGAUGAAAGGGACUUUAUAAUCCAACGCCUGCAGUUUAUAGAGACCCAGCCUUGUUAAGUGAACAGAGGCACAGUUAACCAGGGCACGCCCUGAGAAGGGACAGGGUUGGGGCUACAGCCUUGGUAUUGGGAAGGUUCAGUUCUUCACCCUAUAUUGAACUUUCUUAUGAGGUCAAGAUGUGUAGAUGAAGGUUCUGGUCUGAGAUCUUAAAAAGGGAGAAGUCUAAUAUCACCCACACAUUCCUGUCUUCUUUCCUUCAACUGUGCCCUCAUACUGGCUCCUUGAUCUGAGUUAUAUCUAUCCUAUUCAAGUAGGAGCCUCUGAAACUCUCUCUCAAUCCCUGGACAAGAUCGUAAGUAAAAAUAACAUUUCAUCCUAGGAGGCACAGAGAGAUUAGAGCCACCCUUAAGGAUACAAUGGAUAUGGAGCUGGUGGUCCCCAUCAUGUCUCCAUUCAGUUCACCAACAUAGACCCCAAAGAAAGUCAAGGGAUCCUGGAGGAUAGCUAUAAAUGACAGAAAGUAAGAUAAGGUAUUUUUGCCGGAACAAAUUAUUAAAUAAUUUGACCUCAAGUUUCUGAUAAGUGGUCAUGGAUUUGGCAAAUGCAUUUCUUUGCAGCCCAAUUACAAAAGACUGUAUCUCUGUCAUGAUGAAGACCAGGAACAAUUUUCAUUCACAUGGAAGAGACAUCAAUAUUUGCUCUCUGUCACGAUACAAUCUGAAGAAAUCCACCCUGCCUCGAUAUCUCUGGAAGGCUGAAUAUUGAUCCCCCUUCCCCACUCAAAGGUGUCCAUGUCCUAAUCCCUGAAACCUGUGUCUAUGUCACCUUCCAAGGCAAGAGAAUUUUACAAAUGUGAUCAAGCUAAGGCUCUUGAGAUGGGAAGACUAUCCUGGGUGAUCUGAGUGGGCCUGAUGCAAUCACAAAGAUCCUUGUAAGUCAAAGAGGGAGAUAAAGGAGUCAGAGUCAGAGAAGAUGUAAUGAUGGAAGCGUGUGUGUGUGUGUGUGUGUGUGUUUGUGUGUGUAUGUGUGUGUGUGUGUGUGUGUGUGUGAGAGAGAGAGAGAUAGAGAUUGAGAUUUGAAGAUGUUAUGUUGCUGGCUUAAAGAUAGAGGUAGGAGCCAUGAGCCAAGGACCGCAGGCAGCCUUUAGAAGCUGGCAAGGGCAAGGAAACAGAUUCUCUCCUGAAGCUUCCAGAAGCAACACAGCCCUGAAGACACCUUGAUUUCAGGACAUCUGGCCUCCAGAACUGUAAGAUAACACAUAUGUAUGGCUUUAUGCCACUAAGUUUGUGGUGAUUUGUUGUAACAACAACAGAAAACUGAUGAAGAUUUCCCAGAGAACAUCAGAGUGAUGGUAGGAGGUAGGAUGUUUUUAUGGGUUAGUGAAUUCAGCAGCUCAAUGACAUAUUUAAAAUCCCAGGUUCUUUAACAGUUUUCUCUUUGACAUCCUCAGUGUGGUUUUUGCUUUUGUUUUCAGACUAAUUUCCUCAUGGUGACAUGAUUGCUGCCUGGUUCCAAGCAUCACAUCUCACGUGUCACCAGUCAGGAAGGGGGAAUGGGCGUUGUGUUUAUUUACAGUAAUAAGUAACACUUUAUCAUAACAGUAGAAUAUAUUUUGUCCCGUGUGUCCUCCAUUCUUUAUAUUGAACUGCAAAUCAGGAUAACUAAAGGAGACAUUGCAAAGGGUUGUAUAGAUGUUGAGACAUAAUGUUGAACAGGCAAGUGACCUUUGAAUCUCUGACUAUUCUUGUCACGUUUGAUAAAGAUAAGAGUUGGCAUACAGGGUAAUCUAACUGGAGUGUUUUUUGAGAAGAGGUAUAUUGAGUAUUUGAAGACACAGUUAAUAAAGAAUCUUGCAUAAAGAGUCAUAGGAUUCCAAGCAAAAUUCAGUCCAAGUACUUAUCAGUGAGUAGUUAUGAAAAUACCCGUUGCUUUAAAGGCCUGUAAUCUUCUUUGGAAAGCUCUGAAUGCAAACCUCCUUCUAAAAUGACCAAAUAUACUUAUUUGCCAAUAAGC